GCGGACGUGGUGGAAUUGGUAGACACGUUAGAUUUAGGAUCUAGUGAGUAAAUCUCAUGAGAGUUCAAGUCUCUCCGUCCGCA
rnacentral:tRNA from 1 species